AAUAGUGCAUUUAAAUAAAUAUGCACAUAUUGGAGGGAAUAUUUUCAAAUAGGGAACUUCAAAACCAAAAUGAGAUACCACUUUAUACCCAUUAGGAUGGCUGUUAUCAUAAAAACAGGCAGUAACAUGUUGGACAGGAUGUAAGGAAAUUGGAAUCCUUGUGCAUUGCUAGUGGGAAUGUAAAAUUGUGCAGACGGUUGAAAAUAAAUGGUAUGGUGAUUUUAAAAAUAUUAAUAAAAUUAUUAUAUGAUCCAACAAUUCCACUUCUGGGUAUAUACCCAAAAGAAGUGAAAGCAAGGAUUCGAACAGAUACUGGUACAGGCACAUUCGUAGCAGUGUUCUUCAAAUAGCCAAAAGGUAGAAACAAUAGAGGUGUUCAGUGACAGAUGAAGGGCUAAGCAAAAUAUGGCAUAUACUUACAGAAUAACAUUAUUUAGCUUUUCAAAGGAAGGAAAUUUUGACACAUGCUACUUGCAUAAACCUUGAAUACACUAUGGUAGGUGAAUUAAGCAAAUCACAGAAGGACAAAUAUCCUAUGAUUCUUCUUUAAGGAGGUUCCUGAGCAGUCAGAAUCAUAGAGAUAGAAAGUAGGAUGGUGGUUGCCAGGGGCUGGGGAAGGGGAGACUGUGGAGAGUUGGUGUUCAAUGGGCACAGAGCUUCAGUCUGGGAAAAUGAAAAUGUUCUGGAGCUGGAUGGUAGUGAUGGUUGCACAAAGUGUGAAUCUACUUAAUGCCACAGGCUAGACAAUUAAAAUUAGUUAAAACAGCAACUUUUAUGUUCUGACUGUUUUACCACAAUUAAUUUAAAAAGGAGGACUGCAAAUUUAAAGAUGGGCUAAAGAUUUGAACAGACAUUUCACCAGAGCAUUUGUACUCUUGGGCUAAUAAGCACAGAAAAGAAUUUUCCCUAUCAUUAGUUAUUUAGGGAUAAGAUACCACUGUACAACCACUAGAAUAGUUAUAACAAAAAACAGAGAUAAUACCAAGUGUUGGCAAGGAUGUAGAGAAAUCGGAGUCUUUGUAUAUUGCUGGUGGAAUUGUAAAAUGUUGUUGCCGCUCUGGGAAUUUGGCAAUUCUUAAAAUGUUAGACAAAAUUUACUGUAUCUCUCAGCAUUUCUACUCCUAGGUAACUACACAAGAGAAACAUAAACAUAUGUGCAUACAAUGAGUUUUAUGCAAAUGUUCCUACUAGUACUAUUCAUAAUAGUGGAAACAACCCAAGUAUUUACUAAUUGGUGGAUGAUGAGACAAAAUGUUGUAAAUACAUAUCGUGAAAUACUAUUCAGCGAUAAAUUAGUAAACUACUGAUAGAGUCUCCAGGGUGGAUGAACCAAGUAUAUUAUCCUGAGUGAGAGAAGCUGGACACAAGAGACUACCAGUUGUAUGGUAUGCAAUUUCUAGAAGAGGCAAAUCUCUAAAGACAGAAAGCAGAUCACUGGUUGUCAGGCUGGGAGCCUUGAGUGUGAGUAGGGAUUAACUGCAGAUGGGCACAAGGGAAGUUUUUGGAGGCGAUGAAAGUGUUCUAAAACUGGUUUGUGAUGGUUGCACAACUGAAUUCAUCUCCUAAAAAUCAUCGAGUUUGAAAAAUAUUUGUUGAGAGACAUUAGAAGGUAUGCUUGAGUAUAUCUGGGCAAGUCAGAGAAAGCGUCAUGCAGAAAGCAUCGGCUUGAGUGGAGAGUUAAAAAAAGGUUUACGAAAGAGUGAAUAGUGUGUAUGUAAAGACCAGUGUGAACCACUGUGAAAGACAGCAUCAUGGUUUUUUUUUCAGGGAAUUAUACAAGGUUUGUCUUCUUGUAGCAUGAAGUUUGAGGCUGAGAAUGUCAGAAAAUAGGUUAGGAGUAAAUUGAAAGAAAAAUAAUUUAGUAUACUUAUAAAAUGAUGGAUUCUGAGACGUUUAUAAUAAUAACCUGGCAGGCAUAUCAUGGGAUUAAUGUAGCCUUACUCUUGGUAUGCUUGGUAUUCACAAAGUUUUAUACAAUGUUGAAAAAUGUUGUGAAGGAAGAAUAUUUAAAGGUGAAAAUAAAUGUUUUGCAACCUUUGAACAAAAUCCAGGUACUGCUAAGGUCUUGUGUUCUGUUUAUUUUUUCAAGACAUGGUUAAUGUUGACCAUUUUGGCUGUAUCUUGUCUAAUGCCGCUUCACUCUUGCAGGGCCUCCUCUGUGUUUCCCUACUUCUCUGCUCUAGUCUCUUCCUCUGUGGUAUCAUAAUGGUUUCUUAGGAGAUUCUUAAGAUCUUGACAGCAGGGAGUAAGCAUAUUUUCUUCAAGUUCAUAACUCUAGUGUCUGGUCGUAUAUGUGGCACAUAAUGGGUAUUCAGUGGUAACACCCAUUUGCUCGCCAGAACUUUUGAAGAAGGGCCAGCAAAGCACAGAUCAAAAGGUUGGAGGGAAUUGUACAUGAAGGUAGUCUACAAAAAAAUACUAGAAGGAUGCAAGGUAAACUUUUAUAAAUUCUUAUUAAAGGGUUUGACUUUGGGUUGUGGUAAAUAAUUCCCAUCCAAAUUUUGAAUUCCAGUUUUUACUCUUCAUUGAAUGUUUCUUCUCUGUCUUAGAAUUUUAGAGCUUGGAAAGGUCUUUAGAGAUUAUAUUAUUUAGUCUUCUCUAUUAAUUUUGUGCCCUCAAUCAGUUACUUAAACCAUUCUAAACCCAAGUUUCAUCUUUAAAAUGAAGGACUCAUUCAUACCUCACUGUUAUAAAGAUUGAUUGAUGUAUUUAUGAAAUUCUUAGUCUUCAAUUCAGUAAGUGUGUAGACAUAACAAAUUGAGUGGAUUAUCCAAAGUUUACCACAAAUGUGUGGCCAUGUUUGAGCUAAAUUUUGAUGACUUGAAUUUUAAUCCAGUAUUUCUGGACUGUCAUGGCUGCUACUUUUCGUAUUACAGAUUUCUUCCUUUUUUAAUUGCAAUUUCCAGUCAGAUGUGAGCUGGGGAAUGGAAUCACAAGCUUUACUCAGUCAGUAUAUGCUUGUUCGUUACUAUGUACCAGGUACUGUGGUAAGGCAUAGGACACAGAUGAGUAAGAAAUGGUCUGUUCUCAGGGAGUUUGGUGUCUAGAAGUGGAAAACAAACCUAUAAAAGCAUAAAUUAAGUGUGCAGACAAAUAUGGAUGAUGUGAAGAGGAUAUAAAAGCAUACCUUGCAGAGGGGACACCUGAGGUUAAAGUCUUCAUAGAGCAAAUGAACAAAGGAAGGGUGUAGGUAAUCACCAGCUGGAAGGAACAGACUUGAAUUGACUUGUGAGUUUUGCAUGGAAGGCAGUAUCAUUGUGGAGCAUUCUGUGAUGAGACGGAAGGUACAGUUUAUCUGCAGUGAUACCAGGAUUCCGGAGGAUACAGUGGAAUAGACUGGGUGUGGAAUGAGCCCAGGAAGGGAGGUCAGAUGGAAGUACCUGAAAACAGCAUAAGAGGAGGCAGUGUUGUUGGUUGCCAUCCUUCCGUCUACUGUAGGUGCUAGGUAAUUCCUCUUCAGCUCUUCGGCAGAAAACCCUUUGAGAUGGUUGCCAUCUGACUAUUGCAAUCAACUGUUCUUUUUGCUAUUACCUUCUGACUCUUCUAGCUAUAGUACAAUUUAUUAGUAAGUUGGGCAACUGAGUCACUCUUCCAUUCUUGUGUAGUCCAUGUUGAACUUUUCAACAGCAUAGCCUAGGACUAGGUUGACACUACCCCCAUGUGAAUUUUAAAUGAAGAUUGCAAACAGUA